UCCCCUAGUAACUGCGAGUGAAGCGGGAAAAGCUCAAAUUUAAAAUCUGGCGGUGUUUGGCCGUCCGAGUUGUAAUCUNGAGAAGUGUUAUCCGCGCUGGACCGUGUANAAGUCUCCUGGAAUGGAGCGUCAUAGAGGGUGAGAAUCCCGUCUUUGACACGGACUGCCAGGGCUUUGUGAUGCGCUCUCAAAGAGUCGAGUUGUUUGGGAAUGCAGCUCCAAAUGGGUGGUNAAUUCCAUCUAAAGCUAAAUAUUGGCGAGAGACCGAUAGCGAACAAGUACCGUGAGGGAAAGAUGAAAAGAACUUUGGAAAGAGAGUUAAACAGUACGUGAAAUUGCUGAAAGGGAAACGCUUGAAGUCAGUCGCGUNUGCCGGANAUCAACCUUGCUUUUGNUGGGCGUACUUUCCGGUNGACGGGNCAGCAUCAAUUUUGACCGUUGGAAAAAGGCUNGAGGAAUGUGGCAUCUUCGGGUGUGUUAUAGCCUCUGGUCGCAUAC
rnacentral:rRNA from 1 species